rnacentral:misc_RNA from 1 species
AUGAGAAAAAAUAAACAAAUACGUUACCAUGGUAACGACUGGAUGUUUAAUCUUAUUGGUUACAUCAUCGUGAAAUGAUAUAAGAAUAUUAAUGACGUUAGUUAAAUUGUAAAUAUAAGCUAGUUAUCGAAUGAAUUCUCGGAUAUUGCAGCAACGGAUACGCCUGUGCAAACUUGUCACGAUGAAAAUAUCUACAAUUUACACAAAAACCUGAAAAUAGUUUAAUGAAGGACUUAAAAAUAUUGAUGUUGACUUAAUUACGAUACAUAACUAUUUAUCCAAUACAUUGACUGUAUAUCAUACUGUACCAGAUACUGGAGUAUCCAAGUUUAUUAAAAGGCGAGAGAUUCUAAACGUAUUGACUAGGAAAUAACCAACAUCCAUUGACAGAUAUUCACAGAACUGUAAACUUCACCAACAAUGAUGUUUGCACUUUUGGUAACUUCGUGCUUCGUUAUCAUUGCAUCCAUUGUGUUAUGCUCAUGUGUAGCAUCAGCGAACACCACAUUGAGCCAUACGACAACAAGGGCCUUUAAUUCUACACUUCAACCAACAACCAUGAAUAACACAGUAACUACACAGAAUAUAACGACAGUAACAGUUCCUUCACGUUCCGUCUCGAAUGGCAAAUUUGCCAAUUAUACAGCGAAUGACUCAGACGGGAAUUCAUCUACAACUCGUUCAGGUUCAGUGUCAGCUGUCGAGAACGCUAGUGUUACAUUCGAAAACCAAACUGAAUCCCCAAUUGAAGAUCUGGAUUCACCUAACAAUAGCUAUGUAAUACUUUGCGAUACAAGCCGAACUGAUAUUAAAUAUUUGUUUGAGUUAUACUCUUAUUGUAAAAGUUUUAUUCCUGUUGUUGCACAAAGAUGCAUUGCAGAUGCGAGAAUUUGUAUCGAUAAUAACAAAGAAAAGUUCCAAGAAGAAAUAGAUAAAGCAGAAACAACUGAUGAUUUCAUCGAGGCUAAAAUUUCUGCGGCCAUAAUGCGUUACUUUUCUCCAGUGCUCAUCAUCAUAGGAACAGUAAUGAACGUCCUCGCCUUUCUCGUUUUGACUCUAACUAAACUACGAGAAAUGAGCUCAAGCAUGUAUCUGAUAACCCUAAGUGUCACAGAUACCCUAAAUCUGACACUGAUGCUGAUGCGCGAUUGGAUCAAGGCCUUAUGGAAUAUAGAUUAUCGAAAGAGCCAUGUCGUAUUGUGCAAGGGGGGUUAUUUCUUAGCAUAUUACGUCUCGCAUCUGUCAGCUUGGCUCUUGGUGGCGGUUACAGUUGAACGGCUCGUAACUGUUUAUUUGCCCCUUAAAGCAAAACUUAUCUGUACCAGGAGGAAGGCUGGUAUUGUCAUCCUGAUUAUCACGCUAUAUUUCCUCCUGCUUGAUGGUUACCUACUUUGGUUAAGCGGACCAUAUGAACCAGACACAGACGAACCGACUCUUUGUCAUGAGUUCAUAGCCCCAGAACAAGAAUUUUUUCGAUUAAAGGUAUGGCCUUGGUUGGACAUGUCUAUCGCGGCUAUUCUGCCUUUCAUCAUUCUUCUUACGUGUAACAUCUUGAUCAUCGUAAACCUUACUAGGGCCGCCAGGUGGCGCAAGGCGUCGAAUACAGGCGCAUCUGCAAAACAAGAUGAUAAUACCAAUUCAAUGACGGCAAUGUUGCUGGCCAUAAGUUUCAUCUUUGUUCUUCUUACCCUACCCGUAACCAUUUACUUUAUUAUGACGAGUAUACAAGAUGUAAAUACAGAUUCUGAAGACUUUCACGAAUUUGCAAAGCUUCGUCUAGCACAUACCGUAACAAAGCAGUUAUUUUUCAUUAACUGCGCUAUAAACUUCUUGUUGUAUUGCACAGCCGGGAAGCGCUUUAGGAUGGAACUUGUAAAUCUGUUCUGCGGUACGAAGGAUUCGACUGCCCCUUCUACAAGGAUCACGUAUGCCUCGCGACAGAGCAGCAACUCUGGUAUUGCGCUGAAUAAUUCCUCUCUAAAGCACUACAAGACAACCAAUGGGGAAGCUACAAAAGAACAUUCAGAAAAAUUUUAAAUGACUAGCUAAUUUGUAACAUUGUUUUUAUAAAGAAUCGGUUAUACUUGUAGUGCAAAUAAUUUGAUAGCCUUCGGGGUAUUUUUGAUUGUUCAUUCCAAUACAUAGAACAAUAUCCAGACCUGUCAACAUCCCGUUUUUUAUUUUAGGUUGACAGGUCUGUAUCUUCAACAUAAGUGUUUUGAAAAAUUAAAAAUGUCUGUUACUAGACAAUAUUCCCCUCUCAAAAAUGUUGAAAAAGCAUGCUUUGGGUCAUUAAAGAUUGAUAUCUUCCAAACUAGACUUCUAUCAUUCUGAUUUUGAGAUGUUUUAGACCCCUUGUUGAAUAAUGUUUUCAUGCAA